rnacentral:lncRNA from 1 species
GGGCCCCUGUCGCAAUUGUCGAUGGCUCCCCACCAGCAGCGUGACCAUGAACGCUGCUUAAUCCCGGUGGUGCCCACCACCUUCGCCUCCGAAGUCGCCACUUUGGUUCUCCUUGUCCUUGCCUUCCUCUGCUUCCUUGCGCUCCUCCUUGCCCCUCCCUUACUCAUUGCCACCACCCGCCUCUCUUCUCCUCCUAUUCGUAAAUGGCAGCAGCAAUUUUGUCGUCCACCUUCCUUUUGGCCAUCUGCUCUCACCGUAAAUGCCCCCCCCCCCCCCAAAAAAAAAAAAAAAAAAACCCUUUAGUGGCUCCUCAAACCUCACCCUUGCUUACGCCAAAUUGUUGAUUUGAAUUGCUUCCCUCUCUUUGAGGAAUCGCCUCCAGGUUUGCAACCAAAAGAAGCAGGUUGCUAUCAUCCCUAGAGAGAAGCCGUUGGAUAUAGGGUUGGAUUGGGCCUCAUGCUAGGUUUAGGCCUUGUUUGAGGCUGAUUUCAGGCGUGAAUCCAGGCUUGGUUUUUGGGUGUGGUCUAGGCUGGGCUAAGGAUCAACAUGAGCCUGGCCUGAAAUAUCUUCAGGCCUUACUUUGAGGUCCAAGCCCGAAUUGAAUUGCCUUGGGCGUAGCCCAUGGCCCAACCCUUAGAUGGCCUGUCCCGAUAGGGCAGACCCAUUUCCAGCCAUAAUUGUUAAUAAUUGAACAAAAGCUGCUUGUAAAUUGAAUCUCAAUUCAUAUGACAACCUGGUUGGUCGAAAACAUUAAACUUGAGAUCAAAUAUAUUUAAUUAUUUCUCUAGGAAGGGAGAGGGAGAAGGAGAGGGAGAAAGAGAGAGAGAGAACGGGAGGAGAGAGAGGGAAAGAGAGAGAGAG